GAGCUCCUUCCUGCCAGGCGUGAAGUGCACCCUCCUGGUUACCUGCGACCUGUGCAUAUUGUACUGUGCGGGGCAGCAGAGACAACUGAGAUUUUAACUCGCUGGAAACAAAUUCAGGACCCUUUCUCUAAACGGUCCUGUUCAGAAGCUCGAAUGGAGGGCUUGGCAGAAAGGACACCUGCUUGGACCCAGAGAAAGCCGGCCUCAGACCAGCGGCCUGUCCCCUUGCUGUGGUGCGCGAGGGCCUCGAGCCCAUUGCAGUGCGGGGAGGUUUGGCCCACUCCAGAAGAGGCUUUCACUUCCUUGUAAAAGAGGAACUCAACAAAGGAGCAGGACCAGGGACAUCAGCCUCCACUCCUCUGCGUGGGGGGCGACCUUCAGUUGUGCCAUGGAGGAACAGAAGUGGGAGGAAGUUCAGCAGACACUUUCCUGAGUGCCGGCAGUGGGUGGGCCUCAGACCCCUACCUCCAGGCCCGCAGACCACCCACCACCACCACCACCCCGCCUCCCAGCCUGCCUUGAGGACUCUGCUGCUGAUGUCCCUGAGAGAGUGGAAGCAACCAGAUGAGACCGACUGCCCAACCCCAGUCCCUGACUUGCGGGAGAGCAGUGGCCUGUGCCUUGUGCGCCGAGAUGCCAAGGUCAAGGCCUAGGCCCCAGCGUCUUCUCCAGCCUCUCUCCCCUUGGCGCCUGGUUUUCCUCCCACCUUGACCAGACCCUGCCUGACCUCAGACAGCCCCAGACUCUGCAGUCUCCCCAUCCACCCUCCCCAGAUCUCAUCUGGCCUUGACACCUCAGCUGCUCCUUCUCAAUCAGGACACGUAGGAUGUCCUGAGGACCUGUGAUCAAGCCCCCUUACCCUUCCUCUCCCAGCUGCUCAGGCCAGAUGCUGGAGCAUCAGCCUUCAUCUCCCUCUAGAGCUCGCACUCCACAUCCAGUCCACCAACAUCACCAUGCCAUCCCCAGUCCAACCUCG
rnacentral:lncRNA from 1 species